rnacentral:rRNA from 1 species
GAAUAUUGGACAAUGGGCGAAAGCCUGAUCCAGCCAUGCCGCGUGUGUGAAGAAGGUCUUCGGAUUGUAAGGCACUUUAAGUUGGGAGGAAGGGCAGUAAGCGAAUACCUUGCUGUUUUGACGUUACCGACAGAAUAAGCACCGGCUAACUCUGUGCCCGCCGCCGCGGUAAUACAGAGGGUGCAAGCGUUAAUCGGAAUUACUGGGCGUAAAGCGCGCGUAGGUGGUUCGUUAAGUUGGAUGUGAAAUCCCCGGGCUCAACCUGGGAACUGCCUUUGUGACUGCAAGGCUAGAGUACGGCAGAGGGGGGUGGAAUUUCCUGUGUAGCGGUGAAAUGCGUAGAUAUAGGAAGGAACACCAGUGGCGAAGGCGACCACCUGGGCUCAUACUGACACUGAGGUGCGAAAGCGUGGGGAGCAAACAG